rnacentral:rRNA from 1 species
UUUAAAGUCUGACCUGCCCAAUGAAUUUUGAAUGGCCGCAGUAUUUUGACUGUGCAAAGGUAGCAUAAUCAUUAGUUUUUUAAAUGGAAGCUGGAAUGAAGGGUUUGAUGAGAAAGUAACUGUCUCACAUUAAUAUAUAUAUAAUUUUAUUUUUAAGUUAAAAAGCUUAAAUUUUUUAAAAAGACGAGAAGACCCUAUAGAGUUUGAUAUUUUUUUUAUUUAAAAUUUUUAGGAUUUAAAUAUUUUGUUUAAAAAAAAUAUUUUAUUGGGGUGAUAAUAAAAUUUGCUAAACUUUUAAUUUUAAAUUUCCAUUAAUAUAUGAAUAAUUGAUCCUAAUUUUUAGAUUAUAAGAAAAAAUUACCUUAGGGAUAACAGCGUAAUUUUUUUUUAGAGUUCUAAUCGAAAAAAAAGAUUGCGACCUCGAUGUUGGAUUAAAAUAUAAGUUUGGUGUAGAAGCUAAAUUUUUAGGUCUGUUCGACCUUUAAAAUUUUACA